UCAGGGGAGCCUGAGUCAGCUCGCACCAGACCUGUUUUGGUGCUACACCUCAGACACCUACUGGCCAAGCAACAAUACUACAUCCAAAAAUCAUGCAAAGAACCAGCCAUUCGCCUAACCUGGUUAAUUACAUCUGGAACAUCAAGACACGUAGGACAAUCUUUUGAGGAUUUUAUCUGAGUAACUGAUGGAAGCAAAUGCAGAGAUUCACAGCCAAGCACUGGGCAGAACUCCAGGAGUCCAGCUGAAGAGAGGAAGAGGAAGAAGGGAUUCUACAAGCCAAGCAGGGUCAAGAUCAUGGGAAUUGAAAACCUGCACCCCUUACUACAUCCAAAUGCUGGCUGGAACACAGAUGUCCACUGCAGGAGAUAAUUAAAGUCUCAGGAAAAUGCAAAACUCCAAUAAGUGAAAGAUACAAGGAAUAAAUUAAAAGCAUCUUGCUAUGUAGCCCUGGCUGUCCUCAAACUCACUGUAUGAAUGAAGCUGGCUUCCAACUUGCAGAAAUCCUGCUUUGCAAGUGCUGAGAUCACAGGUUAUGCUUUCCCAGAACCUGCGUCGAAGUCCAACCUUCAGGUAACCUUCCACCUCCUACAUACUCUAAUAUCUCUCAAAGAACAUGCACAGCUGGGUGGGAGAGGGAAGGAAUAAUGGCUGGAGUCCCAGGUGAGGCUACUGAGACCCUUAGUCCCUCCUAUCUGGGAGUGAUAACGGCCCCAUGACCACACAGCAACCUCAGCUGUCACUGCUGUAUUAUUCUGCUGAAAUAGUUAUGAUGACUAGCUGGUCAGUGCUGUGGAAUAAUCCUCUUGCACACUGUAAAGACUUGCCACUUGAAUUGGUUUAAUAAAUCACUGAUUAGCCAGUAGCCAGGCAGGAAGUAUAGGUGGGGCAACCAUACUAAGAAUGCCGGGAAGAGGAAGAGCAGAGUCAGGAGUUGUCACCAGCCAGUCACAGAGGAAGCAAGAUGAGAAUGUUGUACUAAGAAAAGGUACCAAGCCAAGUGGCUAAACAUAGAUAAAAAUUAUGGGUUAAUUUAACUGUAAGAACUAGUUAGUAAUAAGCCUGAGCUAAUAGCUGAGCAUUUAUAAGUAAUAUAAGCCUCUGUGUGGUGAUUUGGGUGGUGGCUGCUGGGUAUUUGGGAGUUUCUGGGGGACAGAAACUUCCACCUUCAUAUGGUACCCAAAUGUUUGGCAAGAAUUUCCACAUAAAAUCUGAGAACGCUUUAAAAGGGAUUCUAGACACAAAAGAACAGAAACAAGUAUGGCUUCUUGGUAACCUUUUUUGGGAGGGCGGUAGGCUAUUUGCUAGAGGUAAACAGAGGCCCAGCUCUUUUAAGAUGCAGCUUCCUGGUUCAUGCUGGUGGCAUUAGUGGUUCUUUUGGGGAGUCCUACUACUGAAUCACUUAAAUGGGGUUUAUGAACAGCAAGUGACACUCUACUUGGUGGCAGCAUCGACCAAAAAACUCCCCAGAACUUGCAUGGUAAACAUGAAUUCUACCAUUACCUCUACCAUGAAGCUAAGCUCUUAUAGACCAAGGAAUGGGGCAUAGCCAGCUGCCAAAGCUGCCGCUUUGGUCCUAGCCAUGCCUGCUUAGCAGUUUAAAGUCUUGUGUAAUCAGAAAAAGAUAGAGAUAUGCAGUAAAGACAGAUUCAGAACAAAAGCCUUUAAAUGGUUUACAGUGUGUUUAAAAAUAUACAUAGGCUUGGGAAAGUAAAGAGAAGGUAUAGACAGUCAUAAAGAAUAAAUAUAUAGUUUUAAAAUAAUAAAGUAAACUAUUUAAAAAGGGAGUAAAGUAACAUUUUAAAAAGCCACAUAAAGAUGGAAAAUAUACAGAGUCUGGAUACUGUAUGUUAUUGUGUUGUCUUUGAAUUGUUUGACUGCUGAGGAA